GAGGGCCACCCAGAGAAGGCAGACCUUCCUGUCUCUUCCUAGUGUGGCCCCUAGUGUGGCCCUGGAGCCCAACCUGAGCUUCUCGAGCAUGAGCUACAGCUCUGGCUAUUGCUCUGAUGAGCCACAAAGGCUUAGGACAUGCUCCAGCAGGAGCUUCUCUAGUGGAAUUGGCACAAGGACCGAUGCUAUUUGCACCCGUUCAUGGUUGCCUUCCUGGUUGCCUUCCUGGUUUGCCAUCCUGCUCUUCCUCCUCCCCUUUCUUCUGACCUUCGUAUUCCUGUUUCGACUGCAUUCCCCACUAUGAACCUUAAUCUGAUGACCCGACCGACUCAACCUGACCCUCGACCUGAUCUGACUCAAAAGACUACGGUAGGACCUGUUUUUCAUCUGUCUAAUACUGUACUUAGCCCUACUGUUUGUUUCAUGUCUAUUAUCUAUGCCUUGAUUGGGUGAAUGUAGCAUUGAAGUUAUGAGCCUGAUUGUCCAAUAAGGACUUGUUGAAUCUCUUUCUACAGCAUGGAACUCCUAUCAUGAAUUCAGCUUUCAAAAUGCAAAUGGAUACUAUACUGGUGAGAGAGAGAGAACGUGAGAGAAGGGGGGAAGAGAGAGAGAGCAUACCGAAAAUAG